GCUUCUUCUCUCAUUCUCCUUGCGCGUUUCAUCUUCCUCUGCCAGCGGCAGGUUUCAUCUUCCUCCUCCGCCAGCGCCGGCGUUUUCUCUGCCGACGACAACGUGCACGUCAACCGCCGUAUCCUCCUUCCUCCUGGUCUUCACUGUCGCUUCCCUUCCCUGUUACUUGCCAAAGGACUUCAGGUCGUGCAAUCCUCAAUUUGAACAAGACACUCGAAGAAAAGACUGAAAAUCAUGGUUGAAUUGGAUAACAGUAGCGAGACUAGGGUUGAAGAUGUGGCUUGGCUUUGCUCGCUUUCGGAAUCAGAGAUUGAUAUGCUCAUUAGCUUGAAACUGUUGAUCAUUCGGCGUGCAAAAAUGAUAGGCUGUAAGGAAUUGGCUAAUAAGUUUGACCUUAAGAUGCUUCGAGUCAUUGCAUUUGUUUUGAUGGAACAUCUCAAAGCAGAGGUAAAAGAUUCCUCACUUAUUCCAGAUGUGGUGAAAUCUACCGCGUUUUUAGAGGCUUGCAACUUGUUGCAAUGUAAUAAUGAGGUUGCUGCAAGUAUUGACGAGCUAAGUAUGAAUGUUGGUGCUGAUAUACAAACAUUUCUGAGAAGUGACAACUUCCACCCCAACACCACUUAUCUUUUUCUUCCGAUCAGAUUUGGCCCUUGUUCAAUGAGAAAAAGGUGUAAGUUUCAAGCUUUUCAACCCAGAACAGAUGAGUGAGUUCGAUUUCUGGGUUUGUUUCCGGAUCUAAGAAGAGAAGCACAAGAUUAAUAUGAAUUUGUUGGGGUAAGAUGAAAGGUGCUCUCCUUCCUGGGUCGUGUUCUCUUCGUUUCUCAGUGGUUGUGUUGCGGUGAGAGCACAGAUCUGGUGGUGGUGGCGUCAAGGAUCGCAGUCGUACCUGUUGAGUUUGUGGCGGUGUUUGGCCAUUCCGCUACGCCUGUUUCUGCAGAUUUGGAAGAAGGGAGGGGCGGUGACAUGCGGUGGUGGCAGUGAUGGGUUUGCUGAGUUUGAUGGGUUAAAAAGCUUGCAGCUUUUACUUGUUGAAGAUGAAGGGAGAAGCAAGCCAGUGUGAACAAGGCCACCAACUUCCAAAAGAAAGAAGCAGAAAGUUGUUAGCAGCGAGUAAAAGAUUUAGCUGUCUUGGAGGUCUUGAAAUUUCUAGCCUAUCUUUAUGAGGGAUGGGGAGUGGUGUCUGGGUUGGGUUUGGAAGGGGGAAUGUUUUUAGGCUUAGAUGAGGGAUGAUGAUGAAAGAAGAGGAAAAAUUAGAAAUUAGGUGGGAGAGGGGAAGAGAAAGUGGUGGUAGUUGAGAGAGAGAGAGCCUUCAAGCUCUUGAAGUUUUAGUAUUUUUUAGAGUUAUAGUCUAUGAUUAUACUGCAUUGUCAUAAUUUGACUUACCAAUCAGGCUUCAUAUUAUUACCAGCACUCAGGUUUAUAGGAUGGGUA